rnacentral:rRNA from 1 species
UGGGAACGUGCCUUUUGGUUCGGAACAACCCAGGGAAACUUGGGGCUAAUACCGGAUAAGCCCUUACGGGGAAAGAUUUAUCGCCAAAAGAUCGGCCCGCGUCUGAUUAGCUAGUUGGUGGGUAAUGGCCCACCAAGGCUACGAUCAGUAGCUGGUCUGAGAGGAUGAUCAGCCACAUUGGGACU